CCUACGGGAUGCACCAGUGGGGAAUAUUGCACAAUGGGCGCAAGCCUGAUGUAGCCAUGCCGCGUGUAUGAAGAAGGCCCUAGGGUUGUAAAGUACUUUCAGUCGGGAGGAAGGCGUUGAUGCUAAUAUCAUCAGCGAUUGACGUUACUGACAGAAGAAGCACCGGCUACUCCGUGCCAGCAGCCGCGGUAAUGCGGAGGGUGCAAGCGUUAAUCGGAAUUACUGGGCGUAAAGCGCACGCAGGCGGUUGAUUAAGUUAGAUGUGAAAUCCCCGGGCUUAACCUGGGAAUGGCAUCCAAGACUGGUCAGCUAGAGUCUUGUAGAGGGGGGUAGAGUUCCAUGUGUAGCGGUGAAAUGCGUAGAGAUGUGGAGGAAUACCGGUGGCGAAGGCGGCCCCCUGGACAAAGACUGACGCUCAGGUGCGAAAGCGUGGGGAGCAAACAGGAUUAGAUACCCCCGUAGUC
rnacentral:rRNA from 1 species